UACGAAGGGGGCUAGCGUUGCUCGGAAUCACUGGGCGUAAAGCGCACGUAGGCGGCUUUCUAAGUCAGGGGUGAAAUCCUGGAGCUCAACUCCAGAACUGCCUUUGAUACUGGAGAGCUUGAGUCCGGGAGAGGUGAGUGGAACUCCGAGUGUAGAGGUGAAAUUCGUAGAUAUUCGGAAGAACACCGGUGGCGAAGGCGGCCCGCUGGGCAGUGACUGACGCUGAGGCGCGACAGCGUGGGGAGCAAACGAGGAUUAGAU
rnacentral:rRNA from 1 species